GACGAACGCUGGCGGCGUGCUUAACACAUGCAAGUCGAACGGAAAGGCCCUGCUUUUGUGGGGUGCUCGAGUGGCGAACGGGUGAGUAACACGUGAGUAACCUGCCCUUGACUUUGGGAUAACUUCAGGAAACUGGGGCUAAUACCGGAUAGGAGCUCCUGCUGCAUGGUGGGGGUUGGAAAGUUUCGGCGGGUGGGGAUGGACUGGCGGCUUAUCAGCUUGUUGGUGGGGUAGUGGCUUACCAAGGCUUUGACUGGUAGCCGGCCUGAGAGGGUGACCGGCCACAUUGGGACUGAGAUACGGCGCAGACUCCUACGGGAGGCAGCAGUGGCGAAUAUUGCACAAUGGGCGGAAGCCUGAUGCAGCAACGCCGCGUGCGGGAUGACGGCCUUCGGGUUGUAAACCGCUUUCGCCUGUGACGAAGCGUGAGUGACGGUAAUGAGUAAAGAAGCACCGGCUAACUACGUG
rnacentral:rRNA from 1 species